GAUGAACGCUAGCUACAGGCUUAACACAUGCAAGUCGAGGGGAAACGACAUCGAAAGCUUGCUUUUGAUGGGCGUCGACCGGCGCACGGGUGAGUAAAGCGUAUCCAACCUGCCCAUCACUUGGGAAUAACCUUGCGAAAGUAAGACUAAUACCCAAUGAUAUCCCACGAAGGCAUCGGAAUGGGAUUCAAGAUUUAUCGGUGAUGGAUGGGGAUGCGUCUGAUUAGCUUGUUGGCGGGGUAACGGCCCACCAAGGCAACGAUCAGUAGGGGUUCUGAGAGGAAGGUCCCCCACAUUGGAACUGAGACACGGUCCAAACUCCUACGGGAGGCAGCAGUGAGGAAUAUUGGUCAAUGGGCGAGAGCCUGAACCAGCCAAGUAGCGUGCAGGAAGACGGCCCUAUGGGUUGUAAACUGCUUUUAUAAGGGAAUAAAGUGGGUCACGUGUGACUUUUUGCAUGUACCUUAUGAAUAAGGACCGGCUAAUUCCGUG
rnacentral:rRNA from 1 species